rnacentral:rRNA from 1 species
CGCAUCUGUGCAUGCAGCAUAUCAAUAAGCGGAGGAAAAGGGUACGGAACUGAACGACCGCUACCUACGCUUAGGAUGUUGACGAGACUGUCGAUCUCGUCUACACAUGACUCUGUGUAUAUCAAUAAGCGGAGGAAAAGAAACUAACAAGGAUUCCCUUAGUAACGGCGAGUGAAGCGGGAAGAGCUCAAAUUUGAAAUCUUCAAGGUUUUACCUUGACGAAUUGUAGUUUAAAGAAGUGUUUUCUGCUUAGUUUGAGUAGCAAAGUUCUUUGGAAUAGGACAUCAUAGAGGGUGAGAAUCCCGUAUUUGACCAUUAUUUUCAGCUUUGUGAUACACUUUCAAAGAGUCGGAUUGUUUGGGAAUGCAGUCCAAAAUGGGUGGUAAAUUUCAUCUAAAGCUAAAUAUUGGCGAGAGACCGAUAGCGAACAAGUACCGUGAGGGAAAGAUGAAAAGAACUUUGAAAAGAGAGUUAAACAGUACGUGAAAUUGUCAAAAGGGAAGCGUUUGACACCAGUGUUGUUUUCUCGAAAAUCAAUUAAAAAUGGCUCGAUUUUGUAUUGUUGAGACCUUAAAAGCUCACUGUACAUUUUUCGUGUCUUUUUUAAUGCACUUUUCGUUUAACAAGUCAACAUCAGUUUCUUUUGUUGUAAAAGGGUCAUUGGAAGGUGGCUUUCUUUUCAGAGAAAGUGUUUAUAGCCUUUGGCCUCUGCAAUCGGAGAGACUGAGGUCUGCAGCGUAGACUCUUCGGGGUUAGAUACAUUUGUGCUAAGUUAUAGCUUUUUAUAGACAACUUGUUGACUAUGUUUAGUCAUGCGGCUUACUCGCUUGUGCUAUUUUACCUACGCUUAGGAUGUUGAAGAUAUGCGCGACACG